GCCGAUGUGGUGGAAUUGGCAGACACACCGCACUCAAAAUGCGACGGAUCUGAUCCGUGCCGGUUCAAGUCCGGCCAUCGGUACCA
rnacentral:tRNA from 1 species